GUCGAGCGAAUGAUGAAGAAGCUUGCUUCUUCUGAUUUAGCGGCGGACGGGUGAGUAACACGUGGGCAACCUACCUAGUAGAUUGGGAUAACUCCGGGAAACCGGGGCUAAUACCGAAUAAUCCAUUUUGUCACAUGGCAAAAUGCUGAAAGGCGGUUUCGGCUGUCACUACUAGAUGGGCCCGCGGUGCAUUAGCUAGUUGGUGGGGUAACGGCCUACCAAGGCAACGAUGCAUAGCCGACCUGAGAGGGUGAUCGGCCACAUUGGGACUGAGACACGGCCCAAACUCCUACGGGAGGCAGCAGUAGGGAAUCUUCCACAAUGGACGAAAGUCUGAUGGAGCAACGCCGCGUGAGUGAUGAAGGUUUUCGGAUCGUAAAACUCUGUUGUAAGGGAAGAACAAGUACGUUAGUAACUGAACGUACCUUGACGGUACCUUAUUAGAAAGCCACGGCUAACUACGUGCCAGCAGCCGCGGUAAUACGUAGGUGGCAAGCGUUGUCCGGAUUUAUUGGGCGUAAAGCGCGCGCAGGUGGUUUCUUAAGUCUGAUGUGAAAGCCCACGGCUCAACCGUGGAGGGUCAUUGGAAACUGGGAGACUUGAGUGCA
rnacentral:rRNA from 1 species